ACUUUCGUAGCUCAGCUGGAUAGAGCGCCGGUCUUAUAAACUGGAGGUCGCGGGUUCGAGUCCCGCCGGGAGAC
rnacentral:tRNA from 2 species